CAGGCUUAACACAGGCAAGUCGAGCGGAGAGAGGUAGCUUGCUACCGAUCUUAGCGGCAGACGGGUGAGUAACGCGUGGGAAUCUACCCAAUUCUACGGAACAACUGAGGGAAACUUCAGCUAAUACCGUAUACGCCCUACGGGGGAAAGAUUUAUCGGAAUUGGAUGAGCCCGCGUUGGAUUAGCUAGUUGGUGGGGUAAUGGCCUACCAAGGCGACGAUCCAUAGCUGGUCUGAGAGGAUGAUCAGCCACACUGGGACUGAGACACGGCCCAGACUCCUACGGGAGGCAGCAGUGGGGAAUAUUGGACAAUGGGCGAAAGCCUGAUCCAGCCAUGCCGCGUGAGUGAUGAAGGCCUUAGGGUUGUAAAGCUCUUUCAGUGGGGAAGAUAAUGACGGUACCCACAGAAGAAGCCCCGGCUAACUUCGUGCCAGCAGCCGCCGUAACAC
rnacentral:rRNA from 1 species